UGGACUAAUGGAAACAUGCCAUGUGUCAAGCUUGGAUUAUUCUAGAAUUUCCUUGUAAAAUCUAUUUAAAACUCUCUUAGUCUCACCCAUAUGGCUGGCCAAAGCAUGAAGUGAAGAGGAAAGGAAAGAACACGAACCCUAGGUGGGAAAAUUGAAGAAAAAGUGUGGGAUUUCAAGGAUUAAGCUAAUUUGUGGAGGGGCAUUUUAGUAAUUUCCAAGGGAGUGGAUAAGCUUGGGCCAUAAAUAUCCUCUCCUUCUAGCAACUUCUUGGGAUUUCUAACAGCUUCUUCUUCUUGUUCUCUUCCCUCUCACGUUUCUUCAAUUCCUCCAUGGAAGCUUGAUGUGAAGCUUUCAUAACUUUCUCUCUCUAGCUCUAAUUUUCAUACCUUGGUGCCCUUUUGACUAGAACCCUUGUAUUCUUCCACUCUCUCACUUUAAAACCCUUGAAAAUGAUGAAAAUCUUGUUUCCAUAAUCUCUCACUAGUUAGGUGUUUUAGGGAGAGAAAGAGGAAGCUUUAUUAAUAGCUUGAGAGCUUUUGGAAAGAAGUUCAAAGUUACAAAGCUAUCAAGGUGAGUAGUAAACUAGUAUUGGGUUUUAAGUGUUGAGAAUGACUAGAGAUUUGAUUUGUGAAUAUUUUGUAGUUGAGAUUGUUAAUUCACUUUGGAGUGAUAGGAAAGUGAAAAUGGAUGGCCAUUUAAAGGGUAAUUGAAAGCUAGCUAAAAGAUAGCUUUUAGAGUUUAUAGUAUGUAAAUUAACAUUAUGGAAAUGUUAAUUUGAUGGUAGGUGCUAACGAAGCCCUAUCACCCCAAUUGGAUCAUUAGGGGGAUUAAGAGUCGGCUAAAGGCUCAACAAAUACUGGUGAGUGGACUUGCAUUUCAAACUUGUUUUAGGGAAUAUGAAAGAUUCUAUCCAACUUGUCUUAGAAAAUGUAUCUUGAGAACAAGCUUUUAGUAAAAUGAUUUUAUAUUGUGAAAAUGUGCUAUACAAUGGUUUAUGUGUUAUCACAAUAUGAUAAAAUGCAUGAUAUGCAUUGGAUGCUUCUUUGCAUGUUGAUGUGGACCUGACUAUGUGCGAGUAGGAGUGCACAUAAGUCGUUGCUGACCCGACUAUGUGUGAGUGGGAGUGCACAUAAGCCGUUGUUGACCCGGAUAUAUGCGAGUGGGAGUACGCAUAAGCCGUUGCAUAUGAGAUGAUGAUGAUGGGAGGGUGUAUAUGAUGAUUGAUAUAUAUAUAUAUAUACAGAUAUGGUAUAUGGUUGUAAAUGCAAAUAUGUGAGCAUUUGAUUUGUUGAAAUUUGGGAGUUUACAUGUGUUACAUGUUGCUAUUGUUAUUUUAGCAAGAUGGCUUGUUUUAAAGGAAAAUAAGACGUUUUCCUUGAUGUUCUGACUCUCGCUGCAGCGAGAAACUCUUGGGUUUGAGGGCCUUCACCAAACCUAGUUCUCGCUGUAGCGAGAAACUUUCUGUCCAUUUUGGCUAACAAGUGGGUUUUGCUAUAUUUUCUGAUUCUUUGGUACAAUAGUUGAGUAUGAAUCUUUUAAGUGAUUUACUCAUGAGGGAUUUACAUGAAGGGUUCUACUAAGAACUAGAAUAAAUUACAUUAUUUUGAGAAAAUGAGUGCAUCAUGAUUUCGAUAAACAUUCCUUAUGGUAUGCUUGUUCCCUUCUUGUUCACUCACUGAGUUUAUACUCACCGCUUUUAACUUCAUGUUUUCAGAUUAAGAGAUAGUCGGUAACUAGGACGAGGUGUCCUCG
rnacentral:lncRNA from 1 species